AUAAGUACGUUAAGGGGAUUCAUCCUCUAAUUUUGUUAAAUUCUCUGUCCAUCUCAAAGCCAUCUGAUGUGAACAGGAAGCUAAGGAGACUACUCUUUUGUGGAAGGCAUCAUCAAGCAAUUUGUAAUCUGCAAAAGCAGAAAGCUAAGGAGUCUACUCUUGUCAAGCAAUUUGCAAUCUGCGAAAACGGUUUGUUCGCACUUGGAUUCUUCUGCUUAUUUGAUAGCAUUGUGCUUCUAAUUUUUUUCCUACAAAAAAACAAAA